rnacentral:rRNA from 1 species
GUGGGGAAUCUUGCGCAAUGGGCGAAAGCCUGACGCAGCCAUGCCGCGUGAAUGAUGAAGGUCUUAGGAUUGUAAAAUUCUUUCACCGGGGACGAUAAUGACGGUACCCGGAGAAGAAGCUCCGGCUAACUUCGUGCCAGCAGCCGCGGUAAUACGAGGGGGGCUAGCGUUGCUCGGAAUUACUGGGCGUAAAGGGCGCGUAGGCGGACAGCUUAGUCAGAGGUGAAAGCCCAGGGCUCAACCUUGGAAUUGCCUUUGAUACUGGCUGUCUUGAGUUUGGGAGAGGUGAGUGGAACUCCGAGUGUAGAGGUGAAAUUCGUAGAUAUUCGGAAGAACACCAGUGGCGAAGGCGACUCACUGGCCCAAUACUGACGCUGAGGCGCGAAAGCGUGGGGAGCAAACAGGAUUAGAUACCCUUGUAGUCC